UUCUAAGCCCUCUCAGAUGACAGAGCAAGGAGAUAUAUGUCUGUAUAAAACCUGUGUAUAUAUCCAUACUGAUAAUAUUUCUAUGUGUUACCAUCUGUGCCUAUAUUAAGCAUGAGUACAUACUAAUGUCUCCAACUCUAAACCAUUUAAAUAAAUGUAACAGUAUGUACUUAGAUAUGCUCUCAACUUGAGACACAAGUCAAUUAUUUUAUCAGUGUUUUGUGUUCCAAAACAUUUUUGAAAUUACCUGUGGGAAGACUGGUCAUUGCCUAUCCAAAUCCAUUCUUCUUCUUCUUUUUUUCCCCCAGCUAAAAUACUAUAUUUCUAAUUUGUCUUUGCAGCUAAGUAUGGCGAAAUGAUUAAGUUAUGGCCCAUGGGGAAGUGAAAUUGUGGGGCAGGACUAAUAGGAAGACUAAUAAGGCACUUCCAACUCCAUGAGCGACCUGGCAGAAGAAAAAAGAAGAUCAAAGUCAAAUCUGUUGAUUCUGCUACUUAGAUUAAAAGGUUGGGUGAGUGCAACCAGAAAUGGAUGCAGAAUUUUCAAACAUUAGAGAAAUAUGUGUUUGAAUACAGAGAGCAAGUUCCUAGUAAUUCUACCACUCAAAGAGAACAACGUUAUCAACUUGUU
rnacentral:lncRNA from 1 species